rnacentral:rRNA from 1 species
AUACGGGGGGUGCAAGCGUUAUUCGGAUUUAUUGGGCGUAAAGGGCGCGUAGGCGGCUUGGAAAGUCAGAUGUGAAAGCCCGGGGCUCAACCCCGGAAGUGCAUUUGAAACUAUCAGGCUUGAGUAAGGGAGAGGGAAGUGGAAUUCCUGGUGUAGAGGUGAAAUUCGUAGAUAUCAGGAGGAACACCGGUGGCGAAGGCGACUUCCUGGACCAAUACUGACGCUGAGGCGCGAAGGCGUGGGGAGCAAACAGGAUUAGAUACCCCAGUAGUCC